AUGAACACAUCCACUUGGGACAUGAGUUCUUCGUCAUCUUCAUCUGACGACGAUGAACUCAUACUUGCAGCAUUCGCCGAGCGCGAGGAGGAAGAGAGGAAGAACGCUCGACGCCAUGGCGGUUCCAAGCAUGGACGUCAGUCAAUCGAUCGAGGAAGAUAUGCCGGAUUUCUUCUUCUGUGGGACGACUACUUCAAAGAAGUUCCUCGCUUUCCCGAACAUUUGUUUCGACGAAGAUUUAGGAUGUCGCGUAUUUUGUUCAACCGCAUAGCUGAUGGUAUACUUGAGCAUGACUAUGAUGAUUAUUUUACGCAAAAAAGAAGUGCUUCUGGAGCUCUUGGGUUACAUCCUUUGCAAAAGAUGACCGCGGCGAUGCGGAUACUAACAUAUGGAAUAGCAGCUGAUUAUGUUGAUGAGUACAUCCGGUCCGCUGAGUCUACUAAUUUAGAGUCUUGCAAGAAAUUUGUGAUCAAAAUUUGUGAAGUUUUUGGAGAAAAGUACCUG
rnacentral:rRNA from 1 species